GCGAGAAUGGCUGGGGCGCGCGUGGGCUCGCAACCAUAGCGACGCGUCGGGGGCGGAGCGCAGGGAGCGGCAGGCGGGGCCUCGGGAGAUUCGCCUGGCAAGGAGCGCCCUCUGCGAGCCCUGCGGUGGGCCGGGCGGGCCGCUUCGUCCCUGCGGCGAAGGCCGAGACUGAAGAUGGAAGAACCCCACAAGACUUUCUCCACGAGCGAUGGCUGUGUGAGUGAUAUAGUCACAGAAAAGUACCUGGUGAGAUCCCAGGAGUCUGCGUCUCACGUGCAGCUGGCGUGCUGUGGGCGGUGCUGUGCGUUCCCUCUUGACGGAAACCAGCUUUGUGUGUGGGAUGUCGAGGGCCCCUCUCACCAGCUUCUAACGCUACAUGGACACUGUCAGUCAAUCACUGCCCUGGCUUUUGGGAACAGAGUGGCUCCCCUUCUGCUCUGCUCUGCAGCCCUGGACUGUGUCAUGGUGUGGGACCUGGACGUGUGCAGAAAGAAGGUGCUCCAAGGACUGACUCCUCGAGCAACUGUCUUGGGCACCCUUUUGGGAAAGGUGCUGUGCUUAAGGUUUGGCCCGGAUGAUCACGCUGUGGCAAUGGGUGCUGGGAACAGAGUACUGGUGCGAGAUACUGAGGAUCAGUCCGUCCUGGGCGAACUGCAGGGCCACGUGGGCCCGGUGACUGCCGUUGAGUUCUGUCCUUGGCAAGCAGAGGUGGUCAUCUCGGUGUCUGAAGACAGAAGCUUUAAGGUCUGGGACCUUUCCCGGGGGUCAUUGCUGUACAGUUCGUCUGUGCUCACAGCGUGUCCUCUCCUGAGUUUGUUCCUUGAGGCAGGCAGCAGGCAGCUUGUCACUGGGUCAGCCGACGGCCAGCUGUGGAUAUUCAGUUUGGCGGAAAGACAUCGAUACCGCUGUGUGGCCCGCGUGGACCUGAGGAAGAGGAGAGAGGCCUUCUUCACUCGAAGGCUGAAGUCCCGGCUGUGCACCCUGCCAGGUGAGAGGCAGCUUCGCUCCACAAAUGAACCGGAAGGAGAAGAGGUCGAAGUGACACUUCCCAUCCUGAGCUUUGGACACUGUGACCUUUCACCUGUUCUGAAUUCCGAGUGUGGUUUUGCCAGCUGCACCUCCCAGGACUCCAGACGCCUGUGGGUUGGGAGCUCCUCCGGCUUGUUCAUGCUGAACCUGGCGAACUUUGACCUGGAAGCUGUUUUACAGUACAAGGAUUUCCGGAGCCUUAGCAUUCGAGUUGCUGGGUCAUGUGCCGUGAUGAGUGGAGCCCAGGAGCACAAGGCGGUGUGCCUGCUCACCUCCUUGUUUGGAAAUGAGAUUGCCGUGCUGGACGUCGACGUGGAGGCCCUGCUGAGGUCUCAGGGGAGCCCGGCCGCGGGGCAGAGCCUCUCUGUGCUGGCCAGCUCCUGCGUCUCACCCACAUCUCCACUCUAUUGUGGAACUGUUAAGGGGAAAAGAACGAAGCCUGUGAGUCAGAAACAACCCGCUGUGCGGAGCGUCAUCAAGGACCAACCCCUGGUUUUCCACAGUAAGGUCCGGUCAUCGGGUUACACGGCAGCACCGUGUGUAAAUAUGUUCGCACCAAAGACCAACAACAGGAAAGAUGGGAAAAGAGCUUCAAAGUGCAGGAGCAGUUAUAGAUGCAAGGACUACCCUUGGGAAAAUUCUGUACCGACCAAACCUGGCCAGCAGGUAACUGUGGCCCACAAGCCGGCUGCUGUAUGCUGCAUUCAGUAUUCAGGAGAUGGGCGUCGGUUGGCCUGUGGCUUAGCCAACCACCUGUCCCUGGUCUUUGAUGCCAGCCUUACUGGAACACCCACUGUUUUUCCAGGUCACGAUGCAGCCGUGAGCACCGUGUGCUGGAGCCAUGACCAGAGGUGGCUGCUGUCUGUAGCCCAGGAUGGGGCCCUGCGGGUGUGGUCCCUCCGCAGGGCAGAGCUCCUGUUGCUGCUGGGAAAAGACGUGUUUCCCAGGCCUGUUCACUCUGCACAGUUCUACUUCGUGGACGCCUUCUUGUUGCUGUCUUCUGGCCCCGACGUGCGGCUACUGCAGUAUCGCCUGGACGCCUGCAGGGAUGAGCUGAAACGAUACAAGCCCCGGAGCUCGGUGAAGCCCGUGCACAGGCUCUCUGUGGGCAGCGGCGCGGACGUGACCAGUCUGUCAGCAGUGAAUGACUUCCACUCCCACAUCGUCCUCACGGCUGCCCGGGACAGGAGCCUGGAAGUCUUCGACCUCAACGCGGGCUGCAGUGCCGCGGUGAUAGCUGAAGCCCAUUCGCGGCCUGUCCAUCAGAUUUGUCAAAAUCAAGGGUCAUCGUUUGCCGCCCAGCAGUCCCCGGCUUAUGAUCUCUUCCUGACCACAGCCACUGGCGAUGGUGUUCGGCUGUGGGACCUGAGGACCCUGAGGUGUGAGCGCCGCUUUGAAGGGCACCCCGACCGCUGCUAUCCCUGUGGCGUUGCUUUCAGCCCUUGUGGGCGAUUCGUGGCCUGUGGCGCCGAGGACCGCCACGCCUACGUGUAUGAGAUGGGAUCCAGCACCUUUUCUCACCGCCUCCCGGGGCACACGGACACAGUCACCAGAGUGGCCUUCAGCCCGUCAGCUGCCCAGAUCGCUGGUCCCCGUGGACACUGACCCCUGUGCCCUGGAAUCCAGUCCUAGCUCCCUGGGUUGCAAAGCCGCCUUAGGGCCCAGCGAAACCCUGGCCCAGCCUCGCCCCACGACAGCCCUCACCGCCCUUCUCACAGGAGUCUGACAUGGAGCCACUCACUGCGGGCUCCAACCAGAAGUAAAACCGGAGAGUUUGCUUCAGGAACGGAGCGAGCUCUGGAAAGCAUGGGUGAAGGCUCACGUGCAGGAUGCUGUCAGCCGAGCUGCCUGCGGCUACCAUGCUGAUCUCCAGAAAGAAAAAGUAUUUUAGAAGGAGAAGAUCAGGAACGUGAGUCACUUGAGGGUUUCCCAUGAAGACUGAACUGCAGUCUGGCUCUCCCCUGUGCGGUGGCCUGCAGGUGGUCAGGCUGCGCCCUGCCCCCCAGGGACGUCUCACUCAGUCGCAGGCAGAGCCUGGCCCGCCACACCAGGCGGGAAAGGCUGACUUUGAAAUCCAGAGUCAGAGCCCACAAGCAGACACGGUUGCCAGGGACUGGCUGUGGCUUCACCUUGCAGAGAGCAGUGAACCACGGCCACGGCCAAGCCUGCCUUUGAGCGAACAGAGCUGCCAUGUCCAGAGAGGGACAAAGACAGUGUCAGAGACAGACAAGGCCCAGUCUCCCUCCUCCUUUGGUGUCACGAGAGCCGUGAGUCUAAUAAGGGCCCCUUUUCAUAUCAGCGCAGAUCACCUGACAUGGCUGUUACAGCUUUUGGUCAGAGCAGACAUUAGAGAUGUCUAAUCUGGAGAUGAGCUGGUGCGCGGCUCACACAGAGGCAGCACGAGCCCUCGCCCGACGCCACAACACACAGGGCUUCCUUCUGCCCUUGACGUUCUGCACGGGGAAGUGUGCCCCGUGGAGUUGACGCGGGAGGCCCAGACACGCUCACCCUGCACCCCAGGUGAAGGUGAAGGGGGCGUUGCUGUCUUCAGGGUUUGAAGGAGACAGCGCAGUGCAGGCUGUGGAAGUGGGGGUGGUGGGGCUCAUGUGGAGGUGCCCAGCUGCUGGGCUGCUCUGGGGGCAGCAGUGAGACGCACAUCUGGAGCCUCUGCCUGUCCCGGGAGGAAGCCAGACCUCGAAGGCUCAGUGAAGUCCCCAAGUCCCACAGGAGCACACUCCGGGCUUCCGGGUCCAGGGCUCCCGCUGGCCUAAGCGGCGUGAACGACAUUUGGCCUCACAGCCAUGGUGCCCCCGAGUGCCUCCCCGCAUGCGUGCUGAACCCAGAGGGCCCGGGUGGCCGAGUUCCCAGACCACUCCACCUCCUGCAGCCUCGUGAGCCCACAGCUGGCAGAGCUCUCUAACCCAGGGCUGCAGGGAGGAACAGAGAAGUCCCCGUUCUGUCUGUCUGCCCUUCCUCUCUCUGCCCCCGAGAAAACAGCAAGGACGUUGCGCUGUACGAGGGCUCGGGCGCUGGCACCAGUUCAUCUGCACCGCAGAUGCCCGUUUGUCCAGCGAGACCUGAGCUGUGUGUGUGUGGGGUUUGGUUUGGGGUUGGCACCGCGUCGAGGCGGGCACUGAACCUGGGCAGUGCAGCCUUACAAAGAUGCUCUAGGAUGUGCUACACAGAAACACAGAAACAGGAUCAUCACCCUGAAAGAAGUGAAGGCAGAAAGUCUCCCGUCGAAGUACAAAGCAAAUCCGAAGUAAACAAUAGGGACAUAACGGAAGAAUGGCAGGGCCAAGUCGCUGCUUCCCACUGCACCUUGAAUGUAAACAGUCUCAGCUCUCCAGUUAAAAGAUACGGACAGGCUGAGUGGAACAACGAAACCCACCUGUUUGCUGCCACAAGAAACACAUCUCACCAGCGGACACGCGCAGACUGAAAUGAAAGGACCGGCUUGCUUCGGCAGCACACAUACUAGAAUCGGAAUGAAAGUGAAAGGCUGGAAAAAGAUACUCCACUCCACGCUAACAGUGACCAAAAAAGAGCUGAUGCAGCGAUAAUAUCAGACAAAAUGGAAUUUAACACAAAAACCCUUAAACAAAGAAGGGCAAGAUUAAGGGAUCAGUUCAACAGGAAAAUGUAACUAUAAUCAAUGUAUACACACCUGAUUACAGGGCACCUGUCUAUUUAAAAGAAAUGUUAGUGAAUCUGAAGGGGGACAUAGACUCCAAUACGAUAGUGACCGGGACUUUCAGCAAUGGACAGAUCCAGCAGCAGGAAGUGAGCAAGGACACAGCAGAGUUCAUCCACACCACAGACCAAGUGGACCUACAGGCCUACGAACUGUUCGCCCUACCGCUGCAGAAUCCGCCUUCUCCUCACCUGUGCACGGAGCUGUCCAGGACUGACCACAUGCCAGGCCAUAAAGCAAGUCUCAGCCAGGUAAAACAACCGGACUCACACCCUGCACCCUCGCAGACCGCAAGGAAUGAAGCCGGACAUCAGCAACCCGGCACCCCCGGAGCAUGGCAGACACGGGGAGAGCCAACAGCGAGGCCCGAGGGAGCGGUGCGUCCCGGGAAAAAUCAGGAGAAACCAAAAACCGCUGCGGGCAGGGUUUUCAUGCUAUUUGCUGAAUUCUUCACUUAGUAUAUCUUCAGUGUAGAAAGUUAACCGAAAGUAGAUCUUCGUAAAAACAGGAACGAGAACGGGAGAGGGAGGGGAAGCGGGUGGAAGCUCACUCCGUCCCUAACGGUGUCUUUACAGAACGCGCGAGGUCUGUGCGCCGCAGACGGAAGGGAGACUCUGCCCGCGCAGGAGGGAGGCCCCGGAGCCCCGCAGGCACGCAGCGUCGUCGGCCGCCACCCUGUGACGCCACCGGGGCCGGCACCCGACACCCCCUCUCCUGGGCCGGCACCCGACACCGCGCCACCCCAACGGCCACGUGGCGGCCGACCCCAGCCCUGCCGCACCGCCGACGCAGGUCGCCCUCACAGCGCAGCACGACGUCCACGUGGCUGACGCUGACCCCAUCAUGCACCGGGCGCCGUGCGUGCGCCCUCCUCACAGGCGCGUGCGCACCCGGAUGGGCCGCUUGGCACGUGCACCUUCCCAGCAUGCACCUGUCACACGCGGGACCAGCGCGCAUGCUCGCACCCCACCGCCGGCUUCCUCACCGAGGGAGGUGGGGGCGGGCGAGCCGGGUGCCGCUCUUGGCCGCCCCCUCACGGACGGGCCCUCCCAAGGACGGGGCAGCGCGAGGUGGACGCCGCUCCCGGGCACGCCCGGCUCUGCGGAGGCCGGAACCCGGACCCGGAAACCCGCAGCGUCAUAGUCCACGCCCCUCGGGGGCUUCCUGCCCAGGCGGGAAAAUGGCGGGAAAACGGGCGGACCUGCAGCCCGGCCCGCCCGUGCUCCGGGCAGCGUUGUGUGCCGCUCGCUGGCGAUCGCCAGCAUGGACGACCCGGCCCUCGCGCCUUCCCUUUGCCGCGGGAGGGCUCCUCCCCGCGGCGUCCACAGUCCCUCCCAGAGCCUGGACCCGGCCGUGAGGCCACAGCGCGCGUGUUGGAGCCCGAACAAAAUCACGCGGAAGAUGAAGCCUUCGCGUAUUACAAAGUACCCGGGAGUUUCAGUGUUCCAGUAACAGAAAAGAAAACGGUAAAAUCAACUGCAGAGUCCGUUAGACCAAUUCCCAGGGCAACCAGACGAGAGCUGGCAGACCAGGGCCCUCGCCGAGGCCCGGCACCGUGAGUGACAGCAGCGGUCCCGGCCGGGCCUGGGCGCGCGCUCAGGCAACAGGAGCUGAGGAGCCGCGGGAGCGCGCGCCGCACGGAGGACGCCUGCCGGCGGAGACUGUGCACAGUGUCCAGCUGCUGGAGGAAAUGAGGGUUUUCCACGGGAUUCCACACCCGGUCAAACUGUGACGCAGUGACAGAAUGCAGUGAAACGUGUUAGGUGGCCCGAGCACCGCCUCUCAGUCUGGUGGGAGAUGCGGCCCCACAGGCAGUGGGGGAACCGGGAACGGCGCUCCGCGAGCGAGACGGAAGCCUGCGGGGGGCCAGCAGGAAGAGCACCGCGACGGCAGAUGGAGAGACAUAGAUACAUGAUGAAAAACAAGCAGUGGAAGAGGAAAAGACACCAAUUAUAAAAUGCAGGCCUUACCAGGACCCUGGUCAGUAAUUGCAGUAAACGCUAACGGUCAGCACACUCUGACGAGGAGGCAGGGGUCGUCAAGGGGCUCAAACAGGACCAGGUUAGGGGCCAGCGCUGUGGUGUAGCAGGUGAAGCUGCCGCCUGCAGUGCCGGCAUCCCAUGUGGGCGCCGGUUCUAGUCCCGGCUGCUCCACUUCUGACCCAGCUCUCUGCUAUGGUCUGAGAAAGCAGUGGAAGAUGGACCAAGUGCUUGGGUCCCUGCACCCUCAUGGGAGACCUGGAAGAAGCUCCUGGCUUCGGAUCAGCACAGCUUUUACCUGUCGCUCCCCCUCUUCGUGGAGGAACGACACAGGACCCUGCGUUGUUCUUUUGUCUGCUUGGCCCUCCCCGGGUUUGCUGCUGGUUCUUCCCGGGUUGGCUACCGUCCCUUCCACCUCCGUGGAAGGGCGGUUCCCCCUGGCCAC